rnacentral:rRNA from 1 species
UACGUAGGGUGCAAGCGUUGUCCGGAAUUAUUGGGCGUAAAGAGCUCGUAGGCGGUCUGUCGCGUCUGCUGUGAAAACUCAGGGCUUAACCCUGAGCUUGCAGUGGGUACGGGCAGACUAGAGUGCGGUAGGGGAGACUGGAAUUCCUGGUGUAGCGGUGAAAUGCGCAGAGUAUCAGGAGGAACACCCGGUGGGCGAAAGGCGGAUCUCUGGGCCAUUACUGACG